rnacentral:rRNA from 1 species
AUUGAACGCUGGCGGCAUGCUUUACACAUGCAAGUCGGACGGCAGCACAGAGAAGCUUGCUUCUUGGGUGGCGAGUGGCGAACGGGUGAGUAACAUAUCGGAACGUACCGAGCAGUGGGGGAUAACUAAUCGAAAGAUUAGCUAAUACCGCAUAUCUUCUGAGGAAGAAAGCAGGGGACCAUUUGGCCUUGCGCUGUUUGAGCGGCCGAUAUCUGAUUAGCUAGUUGGUGGGGUAAAGGCCUACCAAGGCGACGAUCAGUAGCGGGUCUGAGAGGAUGAUCCGCCACACUGGGACUGAGACACGGCCCAGACUCCUACGGGAGGCAGCAGUGGGGAAUUUUGGACAAUGGGCGCAAGCCUGAUCCAGCCAUGCCGCGUGUCUGAAGAAGGCCUUCGGGUUGUAAAGGACUUUUGUCAGGGAAGAAAAGGGCGGGGUUAAUACCCCUGUCUGAUGACGGCACCUGAAGAAUAAGCACCGGCUAACUACGUG